rnacentral:rRNA from 1 species
CCUACGGGAUGCUGCAGUGAGGAAUAUUGGUCAAUGGCCGGAAGGCUGAACCAGCCAAGCCGCGUGAAGGACGAAGGUGCCAAGCAUUGUAAACUUCUUUUGUCAAGGGACAAAAUCAGGCUCGAGAGCCUGACCGAGGGUACUUGAAGAAAAAGCAUCGGCUAACUCCGUGCCAGCAGCCGCGGUAAUACGGAGGAUGCGAGCGUUAUCCGGAUUUAUUGGGUUUAAAGGGUGCGUAGGCGGACUGUUACGUCAGCGGUAAAAGCCCGGGGCCCAACCCCGGCGAGCCGUUGAAACUGGCUGUCUUGAGAUGUCGAGGGGUAUGCGGAAUGCGCAGUGUAGCGGUGGAAUGCUUAGAUAUAUGUAAGAACACCAGUGGCGAAGGCGGCUUGCUGGGUCGAUACUGACAUUGGGGCACGAAAGCGUGGGGAGCAAACAGGAUUAGAUACCCUGGUAGUC